rnacentral:rRNA from 1 species
UACGUAGGUGGCAAGCGUUAUCCGGAUUUAUUGGGCGUAAAGGGAACGCAGGCGGUCUUUUAAGUCUGAUGUGAAAGCCUUCGGCUUAACCGGAGUAGUGCAUUGGAAACUGGGAGACUUGAGUGCAGAGGAGGAGAGUGGAACUCCAUGUGUAGCGGUGAAAUGCGUAGAUAUAUGGAAGAACCCCAGUGGCGAAAGCGGCUCUCUGGUCUGUAACUGACGCUGAGGUUCGAAAGCGUGGGUAGCAAACAGG